CCAAAGGUGGACUGCGAGAAGGAAUGGUGGGACGGCCUAGACUGGGAUGGGCUGGAGGCCAAUCACCACCCUUCCCUGUACAAGCCGACCCAUUCAGCUUACUACAAGAAGCGGCUGGACAGAGGCUCCCUGCUCAGGUAGUUCAAUCGCUCUGGUUUCCUCAUCCAUUCCGUCCCUGACCACCCGUCCCGUCCCGUGCCAGUGUUUAGUUGCGCUCCUGAAAGACCUCAUGAUUGAUCGAUUUGUGUGUGCCCACUGCCCAGUGAACUUACUUACCUGCUAGUUGCUUUGCUUGUCUUGUGUGUUAACUGCAUUAAUCUUGCCUUCGCUGCCAUGGUGGUCGUGGAGUUUCCGGUGCAGUUUGUUUCAAACUCAGUUUGGUUUGAUUUGGUUUGGGUGGAUCAUCUACCUUGUGACAUAGAUUGUUCAUGUCUGCAUGUGAGAAGAUAAAUAAUUAAACAUGAGAGUUGGGCUAGCCUCGGAUGAGCAAGUUGUUGUACUCUUCUCUUCCUUUGUUUGUUUCUGUGCUUGUGCUUGUGACUUGUAAAACUAUUGCAGUACUUUUUUUCGAUAAACUUCAAAAGUGUUUACACCCAGC